CCAACCCCAGGAAAAGGGACACUACCUUUCUAUCUCAGUUGAAGAAAGGAUGAUGAAGCGUUAACAACGACAAUAACGGCAUUUUCUAACGAGUUGUCUUAUGGCCUCUGAGAUUUGCGCGCGAAGCUGGCGCGCGCGAACCUGAGAGGCCAUAAUUGGCCGCUUAAUAGCAUAAAAAGACAAAGAUAAUGCCAAACGACACAACUAAAAAUUCAAACAAAGAACUGAUCUUAGCUAUACUGUUUGGGGAAAAGAAAUAAAAAAUUAGACAGCCGCAACACACGCCACUAAAGCCACCACCGCCGGCAUAACGCGGAACCAACUGUUGGCAACAUUCAUUCGCGCGUCAUUGCUUCGUCCGCGUCGUCUCCGCAACGAGAGCCGCCAUCUUCUCGCGCCUAACGUUUUGUAUGGUUUUGUUCUCUGCAAUCCGCGCACACAGCUCAUCGGUGGCUGCGCGUCUGCUCGGCGUCGCAAUGCGGCCUGCGUCAUUUUCUGGUGCUCGCGCAAUCGGUGUGAAACAUGUCGCAUGUGAAAUGUUUGUAGAAGUGCCUCACGUCCAAGUCAAGCCGCCGUACGGGUGUAUGGCUGUGCGCCCCGUUCUCGGAAGCGUCGACGGGUUUCCGGCAUGCGGAUUUCAGCGUUUGGACUCUACUUUUGGUGAGGAUGUCGAUCGACCUUGGGCCUGGCGACAGCACACCCGACAUCGCCAAAGUGCAGCCUAUCAGUUGAGUGCCCCCGAAUGGACCAUCAACAUUGGAAAAUGAAGCAGAGCCAGGCGGAAAAGGUUCCGGUAACACUGCAUUCAGUAUGGUGGCCCAGACGUGUAUGCAAGCAACCUCCUUCAUGUGGACCAAGAACUACUCUGCAGUGUCUCACAGUCUUCCAUGCGAAGCCCUCAACAUUCUCGUCUCAGUGGAAUGGCUGCUCAUCUAUCUGCGUGUCCAUCACCAAGAUGGCCAGUUGUAAAGCUCCUUUACCCGUUUAAGACAGCUUAAUGAUUUUUUUAUUUAGUUUUCAUGGUUGGCCGUAGAAUCUUAACAUUUUUGAUGUUUCUAACGUUUUUACCUGGCCCAAAGUGGUGCAAUAACUUUAAACCAGUGUAAUGUAUUUAAGUUAUGCUCACUCUAAUGCCUAUCUGGUUUUGUUUGUGUUUAAGAAAUUUGAAUGUCUGAUGAGGUAACAGCAUUUAAACUUAUCAUCGUGGCUCUUUUCAGUGAGCUGCUAGGAAAUAAGAUGCAA